rnacentral:rRNA from 1 species
UACGAAGGGUGCAAGCGUUGCUCGGAAUUAUUGGGCGUAAAGGGUAGGUAGGUGGUUACGUAUGUCCGAGGUGAAAGCCCUGAGCUUAACUUAGGAAGUGCCUUGGAAACGGCGUAACUAGAGUACUGGAGAGGUUCGUGGAAUUCCUGGUGUAGCGGUGAAAUGCGUAGAUAUCAGGAGGAACACCAGAGGCGAAGGCGGCGAACUGGACAGUCACUGACACUCAACUACGAAAGCGUGGGUAGCAAACAGG